rnacentral:rRNA from 1 species
UCGAGGGGUAUAAGGUGCUUGCACCUUAGAGACCGGCGCACGGGUGCGUAACACGUAUGCAACCUACCUUUAACAGGAGAAUAGCCCGAAGAAAUUCGGAUUAAUACUCCAUAACAUCCAAAGAAGGCAUCUUCAUUGGAUUAAAGCUCCGGCGGUUAAAGAUGGGCAUGCGGUCCAUUAGUUAGUUGGUGAGGUAACGGCUCACCAAGACUGCGAUGGAUAGGGGGUCUGAGAGGAUGAUCCCCCACACUGGUACUGAGACACGGACCAGACUCC